rnacentral:rRNA from 1 species
GGAGAGCUUGCUCUUCUGGAAGAGUUGCGAACGGGUCCUUUACGCGUAGGUAACCUGCCUGGUAGCGGGGGAUAACUAUUGGAAACGAUAGCUAAUACCGCAUAAUAGAGGAUGACACAUGUUAUCUUUUUGAAAGAAGCAAGUGCUUCACUACCAGAUGGACCUGCGUUGUAUUAGCUAGUUGGUGGGGUAACGGCUCACCAAGGCGACGAUACAUAGCCGACCUGAGAGGGUGAUCGGCCACACUGGGACUGAGACACGGCCCAGACUCCUACGGGAGGCAGCAGUAGGGAAUCUUCGGCAAUGGGGGGAACCCUGACCGAGCAACGCCGCGUGAGUGAAGAAGGUUUUCGGAUCGUAAAGCUCUGUUGUAAGAGAAGAACGUUAGCGGGAGUGGAAAAUCCGCUAAGUGACGGUACCUUACCAGAAAGGGACGGCUAACUACGUGCCAGCAGCCGCGGUAAUACGUAGGUCCCGAGCGUUGUCCGGAUUUAUUGGGCGUAAAGCGAGCGCAGGCGGUUUGAUAAGUCAGAAGUAAAAGGCUGUGGCUCAACCAUAGUACGCUUUUGAAACUGUCAAACUUGAGUGCAGAAGGGGGGAGUGGAAUUCCAUGUGUAGCGGUGAAAUGCGUAGAUAUAUGGAGGAACACCGGUGGCGAAAGCGGCUCUCUGGUCUGUAACUGACACUGAGGCUCGAAAG